AGAGUUUGAUCCUGGCUCAGGACGAACGCUGGCGGCGUGCUUAACACAUGCAAGUCGAACGGUGAACCCGCUUCGGUGGGGGAUCAGUGGCGAACGGGUGAGUAACACGUGGGCAACCUGCCCCCGGCUCUGGGAUAACUCCAAGAAAUUGGGGCUAAUACCGGAUAUGACCGCUGGCCGCAUGGUCUGGUGGUGGAAAGAUUUAUCGGCUGGGGAUGGGCCCGCGGCCUAUCAGCUUGUUGGUGGGGUAGUGGCCUACCAAGGCGACGACGGGUAGCCGGCCUGAGAGGGUGACCGGCCACACUGGGACUGAGACACGGCCCAGACUCCUACGGGAGGCAGCAGUGGGGAAUAUUGCGCAAUGGGCGGAAGCCUGACGCAGCGACGCCGCGUGGGGGAUGACGGCCUUCGGGUUGUAAACCUCUUUCAGCAGGGACGAAGCGGAAGUGACGGUACCUGCAGAAGAAGCACCGGCCAACUACGUGCCAGCAGCCGCGGUAAUACGUAGGGUGCAAGCGUUGUCCGGAAUUAUUGGGCGUAAAGAGCUCGUAGGCGGUUUGUUGCGUCGGCUGUGAAAACCUGAGGCUCAACCUCAGGCCUGCAGUCGAUACGAGCAAACUAGAGUGUUGCAGGGGAGACUGGAAUUCCUGGUGUAGCGGUGAAAUGCGCAGAUAUCAGGAGGAACACCGGUGGCGAAGGCGGGUCUCUGGGCAACAACUGACGCUGAGGAGCGAAAGCGUGGGGAGCGAACAGGAUUAGAUACCCUGGUAGUCCACGCCGUAAACGUUGGGCGCUAGGUGUGGGGCUCAUUCCACGAGUUCCGUGCCGCAGCUAACGCAUUAAGCGCCCCGCCUGGGGAGUACGGCCGCAAGGCUAAAACUCAAAGGAAUUGACGG
rnacentral:rRNA from 1 species